rnacentral:rRNA from 1 species
AUACGGAGGGUCCAAGCGUUAUCCGGAUUCAUUGGGUUUAAAGGGUCCGCAGGCGGGAAAAUAAGUCAGUGGUGAAAGCCUACAGCUCAACUGUAGAACUGCCAUUGAAACUGUUUUUCUUGAGUAUAGAUGAAGUGGGCGGAAUACAUCAUGUAGCGGUGAAAUGCAUAGAUAUGAUAUAGAACACCGAUUGCGAAGGCAGCUCACUAAACUAUUACUGACGCUCAGGGACGAAAGCGUGGGGAGCGAACAGGAUUAGAAACCCUAGUAGUCC